CGGAGUGGCGGACGGGUGAGUAACGCGUAGGAAUAUGCCUUAAAGUGAGGGACAACUUGGGGAAACUCAAGCUAAUACCUUAUGUACUCUGUUGGAGGAAAGCUGGGGACCUUAGGGCCUGGCGCUUUAAGAUUAGCCUGCGUCCGAUUAGCUAGUUGGUAGGGUAAAGGCCCACCAAGGCGAAGAUCGGUAGCCGGCCUGAGAGGGCACACGGCCACACUGGCACUGAAACACGGGCCAG
rnacentral:rRNA from 1 species